UACGGGGGGGGCAAGCGUUGUUCGGAAUUACUGGGCGUAAAGGGCUCGUAGGCGGUUUGUUGCGUCGGGAGUGAAAACUUACAGCUUAACUGUGAGCGUGCUUCCGAUACGGGCAGACUUGAGGUAUUCAGGGGAGAACGGAAUUCCUGGUGUAGCGGUGAAAUGCGCAGAUAUCAGGAGGAACACCGGUGGCGAAGGCGGUUCUCUGGGAAUAUCCUGACGCUGGAGGAGCGAAAGUGUGGGGAGCGAACAGG
rnacentral:rRNA from 1 species